rfam:Sclerotinia borealis F-4128 unplaced genomic scaffold scaffold00108, whole genome shotgun sequence.
UCCGGCAUGGUGUAGUGGCUAGCAUUUCCGCCUCUCAUUCAUUCUAUUGAAAAGUGCGCGGGGGACCGGGGUUCAAUUCCCCGUACCGGAA